CCUACGGGUGGCAGCAGUGGGGAAUCUUGCGCAAUGGGGGAAACCCUGACGCAGCAACGCCGCGUGGGUGAUGAAGGCCUUCGGGUCGUAAAGCCCUGUCAGGUGGGAAGAAUCUCAUCGGUGCUAAUAUCGCCGAUGAUUGACGGUACCACCGGAGGAAGCACCGGCUAACUCCGUGCCAGCAGCCGCGGUAAUACGGAGGGUGCAAGCGUUGUUCGGAAUUACUGGGCGUAAAGCGCGUGUAGGCGGUUGGGCAAGUCAGAGGUAAAAGCCCUCGGCUAAACCGAGGAAGGGCAUUUGAAACUACCGAGCAAGAGUUCGGGAGAGGAGAGUGAAAUUCCCGGUGUAGGGGUGAAAUUCGUAGAUAUCGGGAGGAACACCGGUGGCGAGGGCGGCUCUCUGGCCCGACACUGACGCUGAGACGCGAAAGCGGGGGGAGCAAACGGGAUUAGAUACCCGGGUAGU
rnacentral:rRNA from 1 species